UCUGCGUUCGUUCGUGGUUGGCGUGAGGUUUUGAACUUGUUGCGCUCACUCAAGAAGAAAAUAAAAGUGAACUUGAAGACAAACUGCGUGAGGCAAAUAUUGCUUCAAAUCGCGGAACGUGCGCUGCCUGUGGUCGGUCUGUAUGUAGUUGCCUACUUCCCAGAAGAAAAUAAAAAUCAAUGUGAGUGUAAAUUUUGAGGUUUCCUUCCCCUCUUCUCUGCGAGGUUUUAUUGAGAUAAUUUGGCAUGUGCAGACGAGUUCAAUGUGAAGGUUUUCGGUCCUAACAAUCCGGGGUUUGUUGUGGUAAUGAAACAGUGAUCUACAGGUGCGAGCGGGGUUUUACCCUGCUUCAUCUCGCCAGGAAAAAAAAACCGAGCCAAGGCUGAUUUAAUUGAAUUUUUCGAAUUGUUUUCCCAUCUGUUCGUGAAUCGUUUCGUUAGAAAAGUGAACGUUUUGUGAAUUUCCCAAUUGCUUCGGAGUUUCUACACGUCAGUAGUCUACGUAGAAUGUGCAACGAGCGACGUUGCGUUAGGUAAUCCAGCCUAUCGGGAGGAGUUUUCCGUGGUGAAAUACGACUGUGGAACGUGGAACGGAAAGUGACAAACAAAAAUCGAAACGGAAGGAAAAACUGAACACCGCGGAAAACCAGCGUGAAAGUGAGUCCCAACAGUAGCAGGCAGGCGACAUAGAAAGAUUAAUCGAACGUUGGAGUGUGCGACUUUAUCAUCUUCGAACCCGUUCACCGCGAUCUCCGGUAUGAGAGACGUUUUAUGCAAACUCUUGACUAAAUAAUAUCAUCGACUAACCCCACAUCCGAGACAAUACCUACCAGCAGCAGCAAAUUGUUCACGUUUCUCAGCUCGACCCGAAGAUCCGCCCGGCAAUGAUCAAGUUCCGUCGCUCAAAUGACCGAUCAUUAAAGCAACACUUUUUCAUACUGUUGCCAUUGCG